AACAAACGCUGGCGGCGUGCCUAAUACAUGCAAGUCGAACGGGGAAAGCUUUCGGGUGAGUACUAGUGGCGCACGGGUGAGUAACGCGUGGAUAAUCUGCCUUAGAGUGGGGGAUAACUAGUCGAAAGAUUAGCUAAUACCGCAUAAGACCACAAGAACUGCGGUUCAAGGGGUCAAAGGUUUUUCGCUCUAAGAUGAGUCCGCGUAAGAUUAGCUAGUUGGUGAGGUAAUGGCUCACCAAGGCGACGAUCUUUAACUGGUCUGAUAGGAUGAUCAGGCACACUGGAACUGAGACACGGUCCAGACUCCUACGGGAGGCAGCAGUAGGGAAUAUUGCACAAUGGAGGAAACUCUGAUGCAGCGACGCCGCGUGAGUGAUGAAGGCCUUCGGGUCGUAAAGCUCUGUCGCAAGGGAAUAACACAAUGAAUGUACCUUGCAAGAAAGGAUCGGCUAACUUCGUGCCAGCAGCCGCGGUAACAC
rnacentral:rRNA from 1 species